UAAUACGGAAGGGGCAAGCGUUGUUCGGAAUCAUUGGGCGUAAAGGGCGCGUAGGUGGUGGCGUAUGUCCGCUGUGAAAGGUCUCGGCUCACCCGGGACACGGCGGCGGAAACUGCGCCGCUCGAGGCUGGGAGGGGCUGGUGGAAUUCCCUGUGUAGCGGUGAAAUGCGUAGAGAUGGGGGAGAACACUCGUGGCGAAGGCGGCCAGCUGGACCAGUCCUGACACUGAGGCGCGACAGCGUGGGGAGCAAACAGGAUUAGAUACCCUGGUAGUCCACGCCGUAAACGAUGGGCACUAGGUGCCGGCGGUCUUGAUCCCGUCGGUGCCGGCGCUAACGCAGUAAGUGCCCCGCCUGGGGAGUACGGUCGCAAGGCUG
rnacentral:rRNA from 1 species